rnacentral:rRNA from 1 species
UACGGAGGGUGCAAGCGUUAUCCGGAUUCACUGGGUUUAAAGGGUGCGUAGGUGGGCAGGUAAGUCAGUGGUGAAAUCUCCGGGCUUAACUCGGAAACUGCCAUUGAUACUAUCUUUCUUGAAUACCGUGGAGGUCAGCGGAAUAUGUCAUGUAGCGGUGAAAUGCUUAGAUAUGACAUAGAACACCAAUUGCGAAGGCAGCUGGCUACACGAAUAUUGACACUGAUGCCCGAAAGCGUGGGGAUCAAACAGG